ACGGGUGCGUAACGCGUGGGAAUCUGCCCUUUGGUUCGGAAUAACAGCUGGAAACGGCUGCUAAUACCGGAUGAUGUCGAUGAGACCAAAGAUUUAUCGCCAGAGGAUGAGCCCGCGUUGGAUUAGGUAGUUGGUGGGGUAAAGGCCUACCAAGCCGACGAUCCAUAGCUGGUCUGAGAGGAUGAUCAGCCACACUGGGACUGAGACACGGCCCAGACUCCUACGGGAGGCAGCAGUGGGGAAUAUUGGACAAUGGGCGAAAGCCUGAUCCAGCAAUGCCGCGUGAGUGAUGAAGGCCCUAGGGUUGUAAAGCUCUUUUACCCGGGAAGAUAAUGACUGUACCGGGAGAAUAAGCCCCGGCUAACUCCGUGCCAGCAGCCGCGGUAAUACGGAGGGGGCUAGCGUUGUUCGGAAUUACUGGGCGUAAAGCGCACGUAGGCGGCUUUGUAAGUCAGAGGUGAAAGCCUGGAGCUCAACUCCAGAACUGCCUUUGAGACUGCAUCGCUUGAAUCCAGGAGAGGUCAGUGGAAUUCCGAGUGUAGAGGUG
rnacentral:rRNA from 1 species